GACGAACGCUGGCGGCGUGCUUAACACAUGCAAGUCGAACGGAAAGGCCCUGCUUUUGUGGGGUGCUCGAGUGGCGAACGGGUGAGUAACACGUGAGUAACCUGCCCUUUACUUUGGGAUAACUUCAGGAAACUGGGGCUAAUACCGGAUAGGAGCUCCUGCUGCAUGGUGGGGGUUGGAAAGUUUCGGCGGUUGGGGAUGGACUCGCGGCUUAUCAGCUUGUUGGUGGGGUAGUGGCUUACCAAGGCUUUGACGGGUAGCCGGCCUGAGAGGGUGACCGGCCACAUUGGGACUGAGGUGCGGCCCAGACUCCUACGGGAGGCAGCAGUGGGGAAUAUUGCACAAUGGGCGGAAGCCUGAUGCAGCAACGCCGCGUGCGGGAUGACGGCCUUCGGGUUGUAAACCGCUUUCGCCUGUGACGAAGCGUGAGUGACGGUAAUGGGUAAAGAAGCACCGGCUAACUACGUG
rnacentral:rRNA from 1 species